rnacentral:rRNA from 1 species
CCUACGGGCUGCAGCAGUGGGGAAUCUUGCGCAAUGGGCGAAAGCCUGACGCAGCCAUGCCGCGUGAAUGAUGAAGGUCUUAGGAUUGUAAAAUUCUUUUACCACGGACGAUAAUGACGGUACUUGGAGAAAAAGUCCCGGCUAACUUCGUGCCAGCAGCCGCGGUAAUACGAAGGGGGCUAGCGUUGCUCGGAAUUACUGGGCGUAAAGGGAGCGUAGGCGGGUUGACAAGUUGGAGGUGAAAGCCCAGGGCUUAACCCUGGAAUUGCCUUCAAAACUGUCAGCCUUGAGUAUGGAAGAGGUAAGUGGAACUCCGAGUGUAGAGGUGAAAUUCGUAGAUAUUCGGAAGAACACUAGUGGCGAAGGCGACUUACUGGUCCAUGACUGACGCUGAGGCUCGAAAGCGUGGGGAGCAAGCAGGAUUAGAUACCCUCGUAGUC